CUUAGCUCAGCUGGAUAGAGCAACGGCCUUCUAAGCCGUAGGUCACAGGUUCGAAUCCUGUA
rnacentral:tRNA from 5 species